AGAACCACUCGCAUGCACGACUCGUUCGGCGCCGCCGCCGCUCCAUCCCUUCCACCUGUGACCUCGCCGCUAUCUGGUUCCUCUCCGUUCCCAUCUGCCACCUCUGCCGAGAUCCGAGGCCUCCGACUUGUGGGCUGACGCCACCGCCGCGGAACCCCGGGGCAAGGCAGGGUGAUGCCGCGUUGUGGGUAGCAAGGAGGGGCACACGGGCGUGCCCUGCAUCGAGGAGGAGCUCAGGUACUUUAAAUCGAGGAGGAACACCGCUGUCUUUCUACAUGGUGGCCGCUCCCCUCGAUCCCCUCCAUCGCCUCCGCCGCCGCCGAGGUAAAUCUGAACCUGCUCAGACCACGGGGAGGAUUUCUCUGGUGGACUAUCGCUGGCAAGGUUGGCAUGGGAGUAGGCCCGUACCAUGGGUUUGUGUGGCUGGAGGACCGUGGCCAGUGCUGCGAUUGCCUGAUGUCCAUGUGCAGCAUAGCUCGGCAUGAGGUGAUAUCCUUCUAUGAUAACAUAGCUGUACACAAUUUCUUCAAAGAAAAUUAACAUAUAUAUCAAAGUUGAGAUUUGCAAUGUAUUUAAAUUAGUUCUUAAAUUGCUCCAAAGCUACUGAAAUUUCCCUUAUUAUAUUUUUUUGUAGAUACUGAUUGUUCAAAAUUAAACUCACUACUUAAAUUCCAUAGAAACGAGAGGCUCAAGGAAGCAACAAGUAGGAUGAAGGAGUUAACGGGCAGAAGCAUAGAUCACAGAAAAACAAGAAUAUGUUUGCUCCCCAUGCUUUGCAUUGAUGUAUAGGUUCGGAAGUUUAAAAGCUUCAUGCACUCCCCAUGCUUUGUAUUGAUGUAUAGAUAACCGGUUCAGAGAAAUGCAAACAAUGGUUGGGGGUUCUAAGAAGGAUGACCCUAAAUGGGAGCAUGACAGACACCAUGGUCCAGGAAAUAAGGGGGAAUCCCAUGGUGUCUACUAUGCUUUUAGAAAUCCUAUGCAGUCAGGGAGAUUCCUUCAGAUUUUUGCAUGAUGAGCAGGUAGCUAUAAAGGGUCGUGGUGUCUACUAUGCUUUUCAGAAAGGAUUUACUAUAUUUUUGCAGCAGGCUACAUGCUUUUCUGAAUGACCAUUUAAGGAGUGAACAUGAACUGGUGAUGUAUAUGUUCCAUGCUCCAUGGGGAGGGAACAAGGAUUGAUUUUCGCCGGGAGUAGGAAGAGUAUGACUUGCCUAACAGAAGCACAAACAGAAAUGGACACUCUGCAGUUGCAUCAGACACACCACCACAAAACCUGCUGUGUGCGUCACAAUUCUUAGCAGUGACCGUUACGACCGUGCAAUGCAAGAUUGCUAGCGACAAGGAUUUGAGGAGGACAAGACGGUAGCUAUCGACAAAGAUUCAAGAAGGACCAGAUGCCACUAUGGUGGUUGUAAUAUUAGUCGAGACGAAUCUGAAAAAAUUGAGUAGAGAUGUGGAGAUAUGAUGGAUUUUGCACAAAAAAAACCAGUAAAUUUUUGCUACAGAGAACAUAUCGGUGUGCAUGUAUCGAUUGCACUUGCUUCAUAGCGCAAUACGUUUAUCCUGCUACGAAAAAUGUAUUAUUUUUUAUUAGAGACUAGCAAAAA